AUUGUCAUCGGCAUUACAUAUACUAAAAUUAGUAUACAGAGAAGAUUAGUAUGGACAAUACACAAAUUCGUGAAAUGUUCCAUAUUUUU
rnacentral:snRNA from 1 species